CCACCGUGGAGGUCCGGUGGGGCCGGCGGGUGACCGGCCCGCUGCGUGCCGACGACGGGCGGGUCACCGGCGUCCGGGUCGCCGGCGACGGG
rnacentral:tRNA from 1 species